UUCCUAUCUCAAGUCCGAAUAAAAAUUACAGUUCAUUAAAAAAUGGUGUUCAGUUUCAAUCGUAUUUUCAUCACAAAACUGACAAAUUCUUUCAUUAAAAGGUGUAACUGGCUUGUUGUAACGUCCUAUUUCGAUGGUGAGUGGUAAGGAGCCACAACGAAAACUUGAUAACGUUCUACGGUAGUCUCUAAACUUGACAGAUUUCACAUAACUGCUUGGCUGAAGAUAACUUUUUUACUGUCUAAACGUCCUAAGUUUAUUACCAUUUUCACAGUUUCUAUCGUUAUGCACAUCGCGUAGCCAAUUUUCAGCAUCUAUAGUGAUUAAUUUGUUCUUUACAAUACUAAUUUUUUUGUCGGGUUGUCAUAUUUUGAGCAUUUAUCAAAUAACUUAAGUCACUUUUUAAAUAAAUUUCAGAACACGGGAAUGCCACGAUGGCUUAUUUGAUUUUCUCGAUUCAUGUUUCUUUUUAACGAGCCUAUUUCCAUAUAAAUUUGUAACUUUCAAAUACAGUCUCAAAACUUCGAUAUUUUGUUUAGUCUUUACUGUAGACCAUCCCAUUUCUCUACGCAUAGCUAGGUUUGAAGAGUUGAUGAAAGCACAUAGGUAGUAUCGGCACGCUUUGUUUUGAACAGUUUCUAAUUGUUUGUGUUCUGAUAUGCCCCAUAUACUCGCUCCAUAUAAUACAAGGCUGGACAAGGCUUUCAUAUAGUUUAGUAAAUAUGUCAUAGUCCAUACCGCCACAUGAAAUGAACGUUGUAUAUAGUGCGGAGAGGGCUCUUCUUGCCGACUUUAUUAUUUAUCUCACUGUAAAUUUCCAAUUUAGAUGUUCAUAAAGCC
rnacentral:lncRNA from 1 species